rnacentral:misc_RNA from 1 species
UCUGAAACACUGGAGUCGUGUUACACAGGAAGUCUGCCACAGUUACCAUGGAAACGAUCACCAGUUUCCAUGACACUCAGAGCUGGCAAUUCCAGGAAGAUCAUGAGACAAGCAAGCCCAAAAGCAGAUGAUCGAAGACCGUCCUGUACAAGCGACUAACUGGUCCGCAGCCAUGGCUGGACCAAGCGAGAGCCGCAAGCCAAGGAAAGACGAGAGAAUCAACACUCUACAUGAAAUCAUUCUUUUAAAAACAAAUCUCCAUAAACGACCUUUAUUUCAGCAGAAAUAUUUCGCAGUAGCUUUGCAACCCAAACAAACAAAAUGAACAAUUUGUGCCUGGAAGUAAAGUAAUUCUAGGAAAACAACCAGUAUUUAUUUUUUGUUUUGUUUCUUUUUUUAUUUUUCAUUGUCAUUGACAAUUGAAUGCUCUGACCAAAUCUGUGAUGAUCUAGUCACAUGUCAUUUCAUUAGAUAAAAUCUGGACACCUGGUUAGCAGACUAUCUUCCAUAUUCAAUGUCCUACCACUCCUUGCUCAUAGUCACAUUUGUCCAUUUAGUCAUAGACAACUUACAGGGAACACGAUGAAGACGUAGUCAUGUAUAUGGUGGAAUGAACUUAGGUAAUAAAUUAUAAAAAGUAGAAUACCGGUAAUAUAUUCUUUAGAAAUCAAGAAGAGAAAAAAAAUUGUAUAAUUUAGAAGUAAAAAAUUGUAUUCUUAUUUUCAAGUUAGAAAUAUAUUUUGUGUAGUCACCACAAAAAAAAAGGUUUUCUAAAUACAUAUUUGUAGCAUUAAAUGCAUAUAUAAGGUUAUUUACUUAAUAUUAUACUUGAAGAAGGUAGCAUUAAAUGCAAAACUUGCCAAAUUCAAAUUAUGUGCUGUACCCUGACUUUUAAGUGGAAUCUCCAUUGUUUAGACUUAUGAGUUCUACUAAGUUUUAUGACUUUUCUCUGAUGCAUUUACAACUGACAAAAUGGUGCUAUGUACAGAUUUCAUGCAGUUUGUGUGUUUGAUAAAUGAUGUCAGAUUAAAACAAGUUUGAACGUU